rnacentral:lncRNA from 1 species
GGCCGAGGUUGGCGAAGGCACACCUGGUGCUCACAGUGAAAGCUGAGGCCUGGGGCGAUCCCCUGAUGGUGCUGCGAUGUAAUAAUUAAAAUUCUCUUGGUUACUAGCAAGGUAGUAGCUGGCUUAGAACUCCUUCACAAGCGGCAGUUACACUGAAAAUAAAUGAAGACACCGUAGUCACAGCAGGUCCCUGCUAAGAGCAAGUGGGGACCCGAACUUGCCCUCAGAGUACUUUUUUAACUCACUCUCGCAGAAAAAGAAUUUCAAGAUGCCUCCCUGUGAGGUACAGGCAGAUUUAUCAGGCAGUUCGAAACUUUUAGACAGAUGUUCCUAAACAGCCUAUAUGCAGAGCUGGGAGGAUAACACAAGGGGGACCAUAGCUCUGUAUGCAGAGUGGAGCAGGGAUGUGAUCCAGUUUUAAGGUAAUAAAAUGAAGGUCAAGCUUCAUUCUGCUUUGAG